rnacentral:rRNA from 1 species
UACGUAGGGUGCAAGCGUUGUCCGGAAUUAUUGGGCGUAAAGAGCUCGUAGGCGGUCUGUCGCGUCGGCUGUGAAAACCCGGGGCUCAACCCCGGGCCUGCAGUCGAUACGGGCAGACUAGAGUGCGGUAGGGGAGACUGGAAUUCCUGGUGUAGCGGUGAAAUGCGCAGAUAUCAGGAGGAACACCGGUGGCGAAGGCGGGUCUCUGGGCCGUAACUGACGCUGAGGAGCGAAAGCUAGGGUAGCGAACGGG